GCAGAUAAGAAAAUGCCACACAUCCAGAAGGUCUCCUGCACCUUGUGCUUGCAGCACCAGUAAAACUGCACCGGUUUUGGAGGCCUUGAAGCACCACGCACCCAGACACGGUAAGAACUACAGGACACUGGCUGCUCUAAAAUGCUCUAUCGUUAAGGCAGUCAGCUGCAUAAUUGGUGUCGACUUCAUACCCAAUGGGCAGGGAUAGUUAUCAGAAGCCCAUUGAACAAAUGGAUGGGAUGUUUCAAACCUAUGAGCGUCAAGCUUCUCCAAAAAUAACAAGAAGUGACAGCUGAAGUCAUGCUUAACAGAAUUGGCUUUAAAAUGUGAAAUGGGUUUUAAAAGCAGCGCUGCCUUCGUACUGGGUGUGAAUGAGGCUUAGUAGGAAAUAGCAUAGGAGGGGGAAUCCCUUAUCAAAGCCGAGACUCUUGCUUUGUUCUCUGCGGAUGACAAUUGGAUAUCUCUAGAUAAUACUUGAAAGGACGAGGAUUGUGUGGGCAGCAGAUGGGUGGGUGGCCAAGGCUUGUGUAAAACAAUGCU
rnacentral:lncRNA from 12 species